CCUACCUCUCUUUGCCUGGAAUCUCUGGGUGGUGGCUUAGAAAAUUGAGAAGAUACACGAAGAAUUUUGUGGUGUAGCGGGUUUUGGCAUAGACUUGGCGGGACAGAAUUUGUGCUGUCUUUUUAAGAGAGAUGGUGGCGUGGUAUUGGAAAUCUGAUGUCUAAAGAGUAAGCAGAGAUUGCAAAGAAGUUGGAGUUCUAAAGCCAGACAUUGGAAUUCUUGGAAACUUUUACAUAUCUCUUACCUCAUUUGAAGGGGGAUGAUGCUCUUGCAUUUUGUUACUGGAAGAUAACUGGAUCGGUGAUCUCCCCCUUGCUAAAUGAUCGUGGUAUUUUCCUUCGGAAUCACUUUCUUUUGUGGCACAGGUUGAUUAAGAGUAAGUAGAGAUUGCAAAGAGGUUGGAGUUCUAAAGCCAGACGUUGGAAUUCUUGGAAACUUUUACAUAUCUCUUACCACAUUUGAAGGGGC
rnacentral:lncRNA from 1 species